rnacentral:rRNA from 1 species
UGGAUUAUGUGGAUUAAUUCGAUGCAACGCGAAAACCUUACCUACCCUUGACAUGCUAGGAACUUGCCAGAGAUGGCUUGGUGCCCGAAAGGGAACCUAGACACAGGUGCUGCAUGGCUGUCGUCAGCUCGUGUCGUGAGAUGUUGGGUUAAGUCCCGCAACGAGCGCAACCCUUGUCAUUAAUUGCCAUCAUUCAGUUGGGCACUUUAAUGAGACUGCCGGUGACAAACCGGAGGAAGGUGGGGAUGACGUCAAGUCCUCAUGGCCCCUUAUGGGUAGGGCUUCACACGUAAUACAAUGGUCGGUACAGAGGGUUGCCAACCCGCGAGGGGGAGCCAAUCCCAGAAAACCGAUCGUAGUCCGGAUUGUAGUCUGCAACUCGACUGCAUGAAGUCGGAAUCGCUAGUAAUCGCGGAUCAGCAUGUCGCGGUGAAUACGUUCCCGGGCCUU